UGUCACGCCAGUGGCACUGCCCGGUAGCUAAGUUCGGAAUCGAUAACCGCUGAAAGCAUCUAAGCGGGAAGCGAGCCCUGAGAUGAGUCAUCCCUGACCCCUUGAGGGUCCUAAAGGGCCGUUGGAGACCACAACGUUGAUAGGUGGGGUGUGUAAGCGCGGCGACGUGUUGAGCUAACCCAUACUAAUUACCCGUGAGGCUUAACCAUACAACACCCAAGAAGUGUUCUG
rnacentral:rRNA from 1 species